rnacentral:rRNA from 1 species
CGAUUCUGGCUCAGGAUGAACGCUAGCGAUAGGCUAACACAUGCAAGUCGAGGGCAGCACGGUGUAGCAAUACACUGGUGGCGACCGGCGUACGGGUGCGUAACACGUAUGCAACCUACCCGCUAUUGGGGGAUAACCCGGCGAAAGUCGGACUAAUACCCCAUAUUAUUCUUACCGGGCAUCCGGUAGGUCUGAAAGAUUUAUCGAUUGCGGAUGGGCAUGCGGAUGAUUAGCUAGUAGGUGGGGUAACGGCUCACCUAGGCGACGAUCAUUAGGGGUUCUGAGAGGAAGGUCCCCCACACUGGAACUGAGACACGGUCCAGACUCCUACGGGAGGCAGCAGUGAGGAAUAUUGGUCAAUGGGCGCUAGCCUGAACCAGCCAAGUCGCGUGAAGGAUGACAGAAUCUAUGGUUUGUAAACUUCUUUUGCAGGGGAGUAAAGUGCGACACGUGUGUUGUAUUGCAAGUACCCUGCGAAUAAGCAUCGGCUAACUCCGUGCCAGCAGCAGC